CUCUGUGUUUGCAAUGAUCAAAUUUAAGAUUAAGGUGAGAAAAUCAUUUUCUUUUUUCUAGCCUUAAAUACCACCAACCAUCUCGGCCACCAUCUUGAAUCAGCUCAUGCAUGUGCAGCUAAACCACUUGUUUUUGGAUUAGAUGAAAUCUAUUCUGGGACAGGAAGUUGUCCUUACUGUACAGUUGGGGUGAUGUUAUUUCCUAAACACUGCCAGGGAAAGCAAAUCUUGUAGUUACAAGCAAAAAUACCUACAAGCCAUAUAAUACAUACUUUUAAAACAGAAGGACCAUCAUCAGAAAAGGCAAAGGCAAGGCAGCAUGUCGAGGAGCAGCCAACCUUCAUUUGUAUUGAAAAAAACUGUCUUGGGUUCUAUUGCCUGUGAGUCACCUCUAUGUUGUGAUUUGCUACUUUCUACUCCAAUCUUCAUACAAUCACGACAUGGAUUGUGAUCACCUUCAGAGGACAAACAGAACUAGGGAGGAUUAAAUGCAGUCGAUAGUAGACAGUGGCCUGUUGUCCAAAACACAACAAGAUGAAAGUUUGCAGCUCAGAAUCAAAAGUAUUACUGGUGCUGUUGAUUGUGUGUUUCCUAUUUUUUUGACAUAAGCAAUCGUCUGUCAUUGAUGUGGAUGAAGGGUCAGAGAUGUUGCAGAGACAGAAGUGUCAGCAAUCGCAUCAACUAACAAUCAGGAUUGGACAGAUUAUUUGUGGAGCCAAAAGAGGGUGCCAAAAGAUCUUCCAGGGGAUUUGGCAACAACAGAGAACCAAAUCCCUUCUAAUUUGAACCCUGUGAGUUCAACUGUCCUUGUUGCCCCUGGACCACUCCACCAGCUUUAGGGGAGAGGGUGCUAAUUACACAGCCUGGGACAGUAUAUGAUGUAUCCUCAGUUACUCAAGGUUAAUUAAAAAAAUUAUAAUUAUUGUAUUUUUUAUAUUAUUUUCCACAUUGUUUUCCAUAUUAUUUUCCACAUUCCACAUAAAGUGUGACUGCACACUCACACAUUAUGUACAUAACUGAUCUGUCAUAUACUCUGUAUAUUGUGUUCUUAUUUAAUCUGUAUAGUCUUGUCUAUCAGCUAAAUGUAAUAGUGCUGUUAUUUAUGUCUGUACUUUUGAGUACACCAAUAGCAGUAACCAAAUUCCUUGUGUGUGUCCAAAUACUUGGCCAAUAAAUCUGAUUCUUAUUCUAA